UACAGAGGCCUCGAGCGUUAGGCGGAAUCACUGGGCUUAAAGCGUGUGUAGGCGGAUCGUUAAGUACCUUGUGAAAUCCCACGGCUUAACCGUGGAACUGCUUGGUAUACUGGCGAUCUUGUGCCACCUAGGGGCGAGCGGAACAGAUGGUGGAGCGGUGAAAUGCGUAGAUAUCAAGAGGAACACCUGCGGCGAAGGCGGGUUGCUGGGCCGACACUGACGCUGAGGCGCGAAAGCCAGGGGAGCGAACGGG
rnacentral:rRNA from 1 species